rnacentral:rRNA from 1 species
AAUCAACGCUGGCGGCGUGCCUCAGACAUGCAAGUCGAACGAUUAAACUUCCCUUCGGGGAAGAUAUAAAGUGGCGCACGGGUGAGUAACACGUAGGUAAUGUACCUUUGGGUGGGGAAUAACUUAGGGAAACUUAAGCUAAUACCGCAUAAUGCAGCGGCUCCUUCGGGAGACAGUUGUUAAAGAUUUAUCGCCUAAAGAGCAGCCUGCGGCAGAUUAGCUAGUUGGUAAGGUAACGGCUUACCAAGGCUACGAUCUGUAUCCGACCUGAGAGGGUGGUCCGACACAAUGACACUGAAUAACGGGUCAGACUCCUACGGGAGGCAGCAGGCGGGAAUUUUGGGCAAUGGGCGAAAGCCUGACCCAGCAACGCCGCGUGAAGGAUGAAGUCUUUCGGGAUGUAAACUUCGUAAGAAUAGGAAGAAUAAAUGACGGUACUAUUUGUAAGGUCCGGCUAACUACGU